rnacentral:misc_RNA from 1 species
AUAGUUUACCUAUAAUGAAAAAUAUCCAUAACCUAAAUGGUGUUCAGACUGCAUGAAUGUAUAAUAAUUAUGUACAUAUGGUAUUUAUUUGACCGCUAGAUAUAUAUCUGUUUAGUAAAAAGAAGCAUUGUUAGUCGUGACCAGCAAAAGAAUUGGAGUUAGGUCCCCUGAACCUCAUUUACAUUAUUGAGGUCCUAGAGGACCUCAUGCAGAGAUUAUUAAUAAGAUUAUACCAUUGUACAAUAGUUAGUCAACCAUGUGAUAGUUCAUUGUAAACUGCUUCGUCAACGUAGUUAAUAAUUGAAACCAAGAGGGUUAUGCUUUUGUUUAAAACACAUACUGUCUAAUUAAACAUGAUAGAUCUUUGUGUAGCGAAUUACUUGGAGCGGAUCAAUGAUCUCAUUUUAGGGUUAUGAUUUUAUUCAAUAUACAAUCAUAGGCUGUCUGUCAAUGAUCAAAUGGGAGAUUUGUUAUGGGAGAACAAUUUCUUUGAAAUUUUGCAUUGCUCAUUUUACAUGUAUUAAUAAA